rnacentral:rRNA from 1 species
AUUGAACGCUGGCGGCAGGCCUAACACAUGCAAGUCGAGCGGCAGCGGGACCUUCGGGUUGCCGGCGAGCGGCGGACGCGUGCGUAAUGCCUAGGAUUCUGCCUGUUAGUGGGGGAUAACGCGGGGACCUUCGCGCCAAUACCCCAUCCGUCCUAGUGGAGAAAGCGGGGGCCCUUCUCACCUCGCGCUAACAGAUGAGCCUGGGUCGGAUUAGCUAGUUGGUGGCGUAAUGGCCCACCAAGGCGACGAUCCGUAACUGGUCUGAGAGGAUGAGCAGUCACACUGGAUCUGAGACACGGUCCAGACUCCUACGGGAGGCAGCAGUGGGGAAUAUUGGACAAUGUGCGAAAGCCUGAUCCAGCCAUGCCGCGUGUGUGAAGAAGGUCUUGGGAUUGUAAAGCACUUUAAGUCGUGAGGAAGGGCUGUAGGCUAAUACCUUGCAGUUUUGACGUUACCGACAGAAUAAGCACCGGCUAACUUCGUGCCAGCAGCCGCGGUAA